rnacentral:rRNA from 1 species
CAGUAGCCACGGUAAUACGUAGGUGGCAAGCGUUGUCCGGAAUUAUUGGGCGUAAAGGGCUCGCAGGCGGUUUCUUAAGUCUGAUGUGAAAGCCCCCGGCUCAACCGGGGAGGGUCAUUGGAAACUGGGAAACUUGAGUGCAGAAGAGGAGAGUGGAAUUCCACGUGUAGCGGUGAAAUGCGUAGAGAUGUGGAGGAACACCAGUGGCGAAGGCGACUCUCUGGUCUGUAACUGACGCUGAGGAGCGAGAGCGUGGGGAGCGAACAGGAUUAGAUACCCCUGUAGUCCCUGUCUCUUAUAC